rnacentral:rRNA from 1 species
AGUGAACGCUGGCGGUACGCCUAACACAUGCAAGUCGAACGACUACAGAACAUUAGGGUGCUUUUACGGUGGGCGAGGGCCGGACGAGACGUGAGCAACCUGCAAUUUACAUUUGGGUGGGCGAGGACAACCGUGGACAUUCGCGAAUACCUCAUGCCUCCUGCGUGUGAAAGCAGAGAAUCUUCCGACCGAGCGGGAUUGGAUGGCCCGAUGUCCGAUUAGUUGGUUGGCAGGGGAACGGCCUACCAAGGCAAGGAUGGGUAGCUGGGUUGAGAGACCGACCAGCCAGAUGGGGACUGAGACACGGCCCAGACUGCUACGGGAGGCAGCAGUGGGGAAUCUGGCACAAUGGGCGAAAGCCGGAUGCAGCGACGCCGCGUGCGGGAUGAAGGCCUGCGGGUUGUAAACCGCUUUCAGCAGGGACGAGGCGAAAGUGACGGUACCUGCAGAAGAAGCCCCGGCUAACUACGUG